GUCUCGCUCUUCCGCUUGCAGGUGCGCCCGGGGAAGGCGGGACGCGCAGGAGGGGGCGCCCGCCAUGCUCGGCCCGCAGCUCCGCGUCGCGGCCUCCAGCCCGCCGCCCCCGCGAAACGGCCAUCCGCAGCCCCUGUGAGGAGGAAGAAGAGGCGGUGGCGCACAAGGCGCCGCCCCCUUGGCGAGCCUCGCGACCUGGCGGCCUCCGCAGGACCCAUGGCGGAUUCCUCGCCCGCGCUCUCCUUGCGGGAAGGCGGCCCCCGAGCGCCCCGGCCCUCGGCCCCCUCGCCGCCGCCGCGCUCGCGCUCGGGCUCCGAGUCCGAGGAGGCCGAGCUGUCACUGAGCCUGGCCCGCACCAAGACCCGCUCGUACGGCAGCACGGCCAGCGUGCGGGCGCCGCUGGGCGCCGGCGUCAUCGAGCGCCAUGUGGAGCACCGGGUCCGCGCCGGCGAUACGCUGCAGGGCAUCGCGCUCAAGUACGGAGUCACGGUGAGCAGGGCGCGCCGCGGCGGCGAGGAAGACAAUGUCUACCUAACGAUGGCUUCAUCUAAAAGAGCAACCCCUCCCUCCAAGUCCUCCUCGCCCAAGGCCACCCUCCACACCCUCAGCUCCAUCCAGACCAGGGGCCUGGACCAGGUGCAGAACACCCUUGCCGUACCUGAGGGACCCGGCACUGUGAUGAUGGUCUUUUUAGGAACACAUCCCUACAGGUUUCUGAUCUCCGACCAGUUCCAGGGCAUCUGA